AUAACAUAAAAUUUUACUUAACCCGGUUUGCUUAACCAGUUGGUUUUGUUAACAAAGCAUUCUCUGUUUUUUUUUAAACUGUAGCGAACUGGUUUACUUAACCAAUUGGUAAUUAACUGUUGAACCAAAGUGGUCUCUUUCACCGUGUGUCAUGUGUGUACGUGUGCCUACAAACCUAAUUAUUUAAAGCUUCUUCUUCUAUAGAAAUCAACGCCGCCAUUGUUAUUAUCUUCCUCUCCUUUUCUUUUGUUUUGGUACUUUCAUCUUCCUCCAAUUUCACUUCAUCUGGAAUGCCAGCUAUGUUGUCCACGGCUUCGUUUUGAUCGGAGAGAACUUGGUGGUGGUGCUGAGGAGUAGUGAGGGUGAUUUCUUCAGAGGCAGCGGCAGAGAGAGGAGUGCAGAGCUUUUCGAGCAUGAUGAGUACAGAGGGUUUGGAGCGACUGUCUUUCUCUGGGAAGUUUUGGGCUUUCUCUCAUAUGCCAGAGCUCUUUUGCCAUUGUUCUCUGAAAAGUUUUUAGAGUUAAUAUGAUUGUGAGGGGGGAGAAUGAAAUGGUGAGGUUUACAGAAUCAAGGCUCACCUAUUUAUAUAUGUAAAUUCACCGACUUGAAGAAAGAUGAGAACAUUGAAUGAGAAAUUGUGGAAAGAGUGGAGGAGAUGGAGUUAAGAAGAACUUUAAUGACAUUGAUUGAAUCCGGUUGGAUUAGGUACCGUUUCUGAUUUUAAUUGCUUACAACGGAGAUUGGCCGGAAUAGUCGUCCUCUGUAACUUAACUGGAGCUCCAUUGUCAAUUCAAAAUCACAGAGUUCAAGAACAGCCGCAACCUAGACAUGUUUUUUUCACGGUUUAGAAAACGAAGAUAAAAGAUGGUGGGCUUAGAUCAUAAUAGGUAUGGAGCUGAUGGGUCACGAGAAUAAACUAAGAUGGAGAUUCAGUAGGCAAAUUUAAAUGGCAAGUACUUUGCAGCUAUAGGCAGGAAGCUCAGGAAGCAGUCUCCUGUGUACUUUGCAGCUAUAGGCAGGAAGCUCAGGAAGCAGUCUCCUGACUAGAACCGAAUAGUGGACUGUGUGUUUCAUAUAUUAAUCAAUCUGUAAAAUAAACUUCACAUUUACAGAGAAAAGCAUCUGUGUAGGCUAAUGAUCAACGAAUCUUAUCUACCAAAGAUUCUAGCUCCAACUGA